GUUCCCCUUCCCCCUGAAUCCCAGUUCGAGUUGGAGGGGAGCUCCGGCGGUCACCCAGUCCAGCCUCCCUGCCAAGGCAGGGUCCCCCAGAGCAGCUAGGUAAGUGUUCAUGAAACCACCCAUUUGGAAGCCACCAGAAGACUAUACAGCAAAAAACUGAAGCCCCCAGCAGGCUACACAGGAGAAAUGAAAGCCCACCUUUUACAGGUAGGUGUGACCAUCUCCCCAGGGCUAGUGCUCAACCCUGGGGAAGUUGGCUUCUAAUGCAUCCGGCACCAAGGUCCCUGACAGCUGUAAAUUGGGAAAGAAAGAGACAGGAUCAAUUUCCAAGCGGAGUAUCAACAGAGAGGGCAAUCAGAAACAGCCUUCUAAAGACAUAUGCAAUGCCAACACCUAACUUAAACCCAACC